GGGGCCGAUUAGGAUUCGACGCCGGUUGCGAAACUUUAGGGGCAUGCCGAGUAGGUAACAGGACUCGUAAAUCCACUGUUGCAAAAAUCCAUAAUUGCCAAUGACGACAAUUACGGUGCGCAACUAGCUGCGUAAGCAGCCAAGUGCCACUUCU
rnacentral:tmRNA from 1 species